rnacentral:lncRNA from 1 species
AUGCUCUAUCGGAAAGGAAAUGUCCACAGCGCAAAGUCAGAAGGGAUGAAGCUGUCAGACAAUAGCAGAAGGAGCUGGUAUUCUGAAGUCAGGCACAGUUUACAUCAGCUUCAAGAUGAAUUUCAUUGGCACAGAGAGCGAGCGUUGCUCACUGCCAUAAGGACCAGGAAUGCAAAGGGAAAAUAUAUUUCAGAAGAAGCUAACAAAAGCAGUAGACAAUGCAAAUGCUUAGUAUAUCUGGGGGAAGGCAUGCACAUCAACAGAGAUAUAGACACUGCCUACACUUUAAGCCCCUCAGGAAGAAGUGCCAAAGGUAAGCUACGCAAAGAGUGCAAGGGGCCUUCUAGACUAUGUUUGCCCACUUCCUUGGAUCAAGUGUACAUGAGCAAGCAGGCAGAAAGAUUAGACUCUUCCUCUUCUAACACAUUUCAUCUUCAGGCCAGUUCCCUGCUUCCAUGGGCAAAGAGAAGGAAAGAAGAUGCAAUAGAUAAAAGGAAGAAAAUUGGGCUGGAAUUCAAAAGUCUUAAAUUCAAAUCCAAGUCACUACCCGCUAGUGAUUGGAUUUUUUUUUUUUUGACCUUCCCUGAGCUUCAGCAGCAAUAUCUGUAGAACAGAAAUGAUGAUAACUGCCCUGUCUGCUUUAUCAGGUGACUGCUCACAUCAGUCAUAAGGAUGAGCUGUCAGUUCUGAAAUCCCAUUAGGUAUUAGUUCAAGCAUUACCUCUAAUUCUUACCACAAUCCUGUGAAGUGAGAACUAUUAAUCUCAUUUUUCACAUGAUGAAAGAGAAAUAAAUGAGAUUGUUUUCCAGCUUUAUUGAGUAUA